rnacentral:rRNA from 1 species
GACGUAGGGGGCAAGCGUUGUUCGGAAUUAUUGGGCGUAAAGCGCUCGUAGGCGGGCUUGGAAGUCCGUGUUGAAAGACCUCGGCUCAACUGAGGGACCGGCUCGGAUACUCUAAUUCUUGAGGCAAUCAGAGGAUGAUGGAAUUCCCGGUGUAGCGGUGAAAUGCGUAGAUAUCAGGAGGAACACCUGUGGCGAAAGCGGCUCACUGGACCAUAACUGACGCUGAUGCACGAAAGCUAGGGGAGCAAACAGG